GACGAACGCUGGCGGCGUGCCUAAUACAUGCAAGUCGAGCGCAGGAAACUGACGGAACUCUUCGGAGGGAAGGCAGUGGAAUGAGCGGCGGACGGGUGAGUAACACGUAAGGAACCUGCCUCAAGGAUUGGGAUAACUCCGAGAAAUCGGAGCUAAUACCGGAUAGUUCAACGGACCGCAUGGGCCGCUGAUGAAAGGCGCUCCGGCGUCACCUUGAGAUGGCCUUGCGGUGCAUUAGCUAGUUGGUGGGGUAACGGCCCACCAAGGCGACGAUGCAUAGCCGACCUGAGAGGGUGAUCGGCCACACUGGGAUUGAGACACGGCCCAGACUCCUACGGGAGGCAGCAGUAGGGAAUCUUCCACAAUGGACGAAAGUCUGAUGGAGCAACGCCGCGUGAGUGAUGAAGGUUUUCGGAUCGUAAAACUCUGUUGUAAGGGAAGAACACGUACGAGAGGAAAUGCUCGUACCUUGACGGUACCUUACGAGAAAGCCACGGCUAACUACGUGCCAGCCGCCGCAGUAA
rnacentral:rRNA from 1 species